AUACUAUGAUGGUUGCAUGGUUCAGCAGAUUGAAUUCUGAAGAGACUCACCAUAUGUCUGAUGUAUCU
rnacentral:snoRNA from 1 species